rnacentral:rRNA from 1 species
CUGUCAAUGCUUGCGUCGAUGACGUACGGAAGAUAAGCACGCUACUACGUGCCAGCAGCCGCGUAAUACGUAGGGUGCGAGCGUAUCGGAAUACUGGGCGUAAAGCGUGCGCGGCGGUUUGAUAGACAGGCGUGAAAUCCCCGAGCUCAACUUGGGAAUGGCGCUUGUGACUGUCUGGCUAGAGUAUGUCAGAGGGGGGUAGAACUCCACGUGUAGCAGUGAAUUGCGUAGAGAUGUGGAGGAAUACCGAUGGCGAAGGCAGCCCCCUGGGACGUCACUGACGCUCAUGCACGAAAGCGUGGGGAGCAAACAGGAUUAGAUACCCUGGUAGUCCACGCCCUAAACGAUGUCAACUAGUUGUUGGGGAUUCAUUUCUUCAGUAACGUAGCUAACGCGUGAAGUUGACCGCCUGGGGAGUACGGUCGCAAGAUUAAAACUCAAAGGAAUUGACGGGGACCCGCACAAGCGGUGGAUGAUGUGGAUUAUUUCGAUGCAACGCGAAAAACCUUACCUACCCUUGACAUGCCACUAACGAAGCAGAGAUGCAUCAGGUGCCCGAAAGGGAAAGUGGACACAGGUGCUGCAUGGCGGUCGUCAGCUCGUGUCGUGAGAUGUUGGGUUAAGUCCCGCAACGAGCGCAACCCUUGUCUCUAGUUGCUACGCCAGAGCACUCUAGAGAGACAGCCGGUGACAAACCGGAGGAAGGUGGGGAUGACGUCAAGUCCUCAUGGCCCUUAUGGGUAGGGCUUCACACGUCAUACAAUGGUGCGUACAGAGGGUUGCCAACCCGCGAGGGGGAGCUAAUCCCAGAAAACGCAUCGUAGUCCGGAUCGUAGUCUGCAACUGGAUCAAAGAAGCGGGAAUCGUUGGUAAUCGCGGAUCAGCGUGGUUACCAGAAUACGUUAAGUGGUUCCGUACGCGCCGCCCGUCGUGCCCACGAGGUUGCACCAUGUCCUCACAAUGUAGCAACAAGGUUCACACCGGUCCGCCCCAAUUUGAC